CCUACGGGAGGCAGCAGUGAGGAAUAUUGGUCAAUGGACGAGAGUCUGAACCAGCCAAGCCGCGUGAAGGAUGACUGCUCUAUGGGUUGUAAACUUCUUUUAUCAAGGAAUAAAACGAGGCACGUGUGCCUUUUUGCAUGUACUUUAUGAAUAAGGAUCGGCUAACUCCGUGCCAGCAGCCGCGGUAAUACGGAGGAUCCGAGCGUUAUCCGGAUUUAUUGGGUUUAAAGGGUGCGUAGAUGGGUUGUUAAGUCAGUUGUGAAAGUUUGCGGCUCAACCGUAAAAUUGCAAUUGAUACUGGCAGUCUUGAGUACAGUUGAGGUAGGCGGAAUUCGUGGUGUAGCGGUGAAAUGCUUAGAUAUCACGAAGAACCCCGAUUGCGAAGGCAGCUUACUAAACUAUGACUGACGUUGAUGCUCGAAAGUGUGGGUAGCAAACAGGAUUAGAUACCCUUGUAGUC
rnacentral:rRNA from 1 species